rnacentral:rRNA from 1 species
ACAACUUUCAACAAUGGAUCUCUUGGUUCUGGCAUCGAUGAAGAACGCAGCGAAAUGCGAUAAGUAGUGUGAAUUGCAGACUUUAGUGAAUCAUCGAAUCUUUGAACGCACAUUGCGCCCCUUGGUAUUCCAUUGGGCAUGCCUGUUCGAGCGUCAUU